GAUGAACGCUGGCGGCGUGCCUAAUACAUGCAAGUCGAGCGAACGGACGAGAAGCUUGCUUCUCUGAUGUUAGCGGCGGACGGGUGAGUAACACGUGGAUAACCUACCUAUAAGACUGGGAUAACUUCGGGAAACCGGAGCUAAUACCGGAUAAUAUUUUGAACCGCAUGGUUCAAAAGUGAAAGACGGUCUUGCUGUCACUUAUAGAUGGAUCCGCGCUGCAUUAGCUAGUUGGUAAGGUAACGGCUUACCAAGGCAACGAUGCAUAGCCGACCUGAGAGGGUGAUCGCCCACCCGGGAACGGGGACACGGUCCAGACUCCUACGGGAGGCAGCAGUAGGGAAUCUGCCGCAAUGGGCGAAAGCCUGACGGAGCAACGCCGCGUGAGUGAUGAAGGUGUUCGGAGCGUAAAACUCUGUUAUUAGGGAAGAACAUAUGUGUAAGUAACUGUGCACAUCUUGACGGUACCUAAUCAGAAAGCCACGGCUAACUACGUG
rnacentral:rRNA from 1 species